rnacentral:rRNA from 1 species
GAUGAACGCUGGCGGCGUGCCUAAUACAUGCGAGUCGAGCGAACAGACGAGGAGCUUGCUCCUCUGACGUUAGCGGCGGACGGGUGAGUAACACGUGGAUAACCUACCUAUAAGACUGGGAUAACUUCGGGAAACCGGAGCUAAUACCGGAUAAUAUAUUGAACCGCAUGGUUCAAUAGUGAAAGACGGUUUUGCUGUCACUUAUAGAUGGAUCCGCGCCGCAUUAGCUAGUUGGUAAGGUAACGGCUUACCAAGGCGACGAUGCGUAGCCGACCUGAGAGGGUGAUCGGCCACACUGGAACUGAGACACGGUCCAGACUCCUACGGGAGGCAGCAGUAGGGAAUCUUCCGCAAUGAGCGAAAGCCUGACGGAGCAACGCCGCGUGAGUGAUGAAGGUCUUCGGAUCGUAAAACUCUGUUAUUAGGGAAGAACAAAUGUGUAAGUAACUAUGCACGUCUUGACGGUACCUAAUCAGAAAGCCACGGCUAACUACGUG